rnacentral:tRNA from 1 species
UGUUCUGUGGCUUAGUUGGUUAAAGCGCCGGUCUAGCGAAUACGGAGUCGUGGGUUCAAAUCCCAGCAGAACGA